CCUACGGGGGGCUGCAGUGGGGAAUAUUGGACAAUGGGCGAAAGCCUGAUCCAGCAAUGCCGCGUGUGUGAAGAAGGUCUUCGGAUCGUAAAGCACUUUCGACAGGGACGAUGAUGACGGUACCUGUAGAAGAAGCCCCGGCUAACUUCGUGCCAGCAGCCGCGGUAAUACGAAGGGGGCUAGCGUUACUCGGAAUUACUGGGCGUAAAGGGCGCGUAGGCGGCUUGGCCAGUCAGGCGUGAAAUUCCUGGGCUUAACCUGGGGACUGCGCUUGAUACUGCCAGGCUUGAGGCCGAGAGAGGGUGGUGGAAUUCCCAGUGUAGAGGUGAAAUUCGUAGAUAUUGGGAAGAACACCGGUGGCGAAGGCGACCACCUGGCUCGGUACUGACGCUGAGGCGCGAAAGCGUGGGGAGCAAACAGGCUUAGAUACCCCGGUAGUC
rnacentral:rRNA from 1 species